CCUACGGGUGGCAGCAGUCGAGAAUCAUUCACAAUGGGCGAAACCCUGAUCGUGCGACGCCGCGUGGGGGAUUGCAGGUCUUCGGAUUGUAAACCUCUGUCAUGUGGGAGCAAAUUAAAAAGCUAGUACCCCAAGAGGAAGAGCCGGCGAACUCUGUGUCAGCAGCCGCGGUAAUACGGAGGUCUCAAGCGUUGUUCGGAAUGACUGGGCGUAAAGCGUGCGUAGGCUGUUUCGUAAGUCGUGUGUGAAAGGCGCGGGCUCAACCCGCAGAUGGCACAUGAUACUGGGAGACUAGAGUAAAGUAGGGGUAAGCGGAAUUCGCGGUGUAGCAGUGAAAUGCGUAGAUAUCGAGAAGAACACU
rnacentral:rRNA from 1 species